rnacentral:rRNA from 1 species
UACGUAGGGUGCAAGCGUUGUCCGGAAUUAUUGGGCGUAAAGAGCUUGUAGGCGGUUUGUCGCGUCUGCUGUGAAAACCCGAGGCUCAACCUCGGGCCUGCAGUGGGUACGGGCAGACUAGAGUGCGGUAGGGGAGAUUGGAAUUCCUGGUGUAGCGGUGGAAUGCGCAGAUAUCAGGAGGAACACCAAUGGCGAAGGCAGAUCUCUGGGCCGUAACUGACGCUGAGGAGCGAAAGCAUGGGGAGCGAACAGG